ACCUCUUCAACAUAUCAAAAGUCUAGCAAAGUCUAGCCUGGGCAAACUACCGAAAAAUGACUUUUAAUAUGACAGAUUUUCAUGGCCCUAAAUUACCACCGUAGAAGAUAAAAUGAUCAGAUGCACGGUAUACAAGCGUUCGCGCAAUAUGAUGUGAUCGUCUGCUUUUGAUGAAAGAUCCUAGAUUUAAGUCAUUUUUGGAGAUGUUUGAUCAACAAUCAACGAUGUCAAAGGUGUGGGUUUAGAAUUUCGAAAAAAGAUGCUAAUAUGGAACUGCCAAACAAUCUGAUCAGCACCAAACCUGCUGCAGCUGCAUCGGAAAGCAAUACCUGCCUGAUAUGAUGCCAAUCACUUGCAGAUGACCAAGAUCAUGUUAAGUUACGCCAGAAAGGGAGUGAUAGCAUAAAUGCUGCCAGCAAAGUUCGCUUGGACAAUAUUACUUCCCUACCCGGACAGACAGUUCAUAUGUACAUUGUCGGAAAGAUUAUUGUAACCCAAUUCGAAUCAAGUUAUCCUUAAAUAAAAAGCCAACACUGUAUUAUCUCCAUCGUUACGAUCUAACACUGAACGAUUUAACUUCAGUACAAAUUGUCUAUUUUGUGCUCAACGUGCCAAAUUUGUUGGAAGAAAACGAGGCUAUAAUGUAUACCCUGUUAGAACAGUUGAAUUUAAAAAGAACAUCGAACACAUAUGUAUCGAUAGGGAUGACAAAUAGGGUUCAGAUAUUAAAAGCAGAUUGGAAACUAUACAUGACUUAGCGGCUGCUGUUGCUAUAUACCAUCAGUCAUGCAGCGUAAAUUUUAGGACAGGUAAAAAUAUACCACAGUCAGGCAAUGAAAAAGGAAAGAAGUGUGGAAGACCAGUGAACAUGGCACAGGAAUUUGCUUUCCAGGAAAAAGCAUAGUUCCUGAUUGAAAAUGAUGACGAACAAAUAACACUAAAAGACCUUGUUGACAAAAUGGUAGAACUAUGUGGAGA